rnacentral:lncRNA from 1 species
UUUGGCUGGCAUGACACUAUUUGGGGCAAUCACCUUGAACCUUCAUGCAUCUAGUCUUGGGAGAAUCUGGUGGAUGCGUCUUGAAGCACUAUAAAUAUAACAUGGAUGUGGAACCUAAUAAAUUACAACUAUAGAGCUUGGUGAAGGAGUCUGAGUCAUCCAAAGGAUAUGCCAAGAGUGGAAAGAGAUUACUGCUCGAGAACAACCUCGUAUGAAUAACAAGUAGAUGGUUGACAUAUUCCUAAAUACUCUUUAAUCACCCUUCUACAAGCAUACAGUGAAUAGUGUUUCCUCAAACUUUACUGACAGGGUGUUAAUCCAAGAAAAUUUGAAAUUGGUGAGAGGACUGGAAAAUCCCACAAGAUCCCACCAUGAUGGCAAAUGUUAACGAGUUUGGGUCUAAGCCUGGGAAAAGGAGAGGAGAAAGAUUUCAAUCACCUCCUAUCGCUCAAAUCCCG